UUCUUUUUUUUCCUUUUUUUGGUUGGG
rnacentral:piRNA from 1 species